ACAAUGCAUUUCUUGCAUAAAAUGCGUGGGAAUGCUGAAUAGCUGAAUUGCUAAAGCUAACCUGGAUGAAUAGCUUAAAUCAGCAAAAACAUAAGAUGUUGAAGUAGUGAGAAUAUUUGAAAAAGUAGGAAUGGUUUUA